rnacentral:tRNA from 1 species
AGGCUUGUAGCUCAGGUGGUUAGAGCGCACCCCUAAUAAGGGUGAGGUCGGUGGUUCAAGUCCACUCAGGCCUACCA